UACGUAGGUGGCAAGCGUUGUCCGGAAUUACUGGGUGUAAAGGGAGCGCAGGCGGAUUGGCAAGUUGAAUGUGAAAACUAUGGGCUCAACCCAUAGACUGCGUUCAAAACUGCUGAUCUUGAGUGAUGUAGAGGUAGGCGGAAUUCCCGGUGUAGCGGUGGAAUGCGUAGAUAUCGGGAGGAACACCAGUGGCGAAGGCGGCCUACUGGGCAUUAACUGACGCUGAGGCUCGAAAGUAUGGGGAGCAAACAGG
rnacentral:rRNA from 1 species